GACAGAGGGUGCAAACGUUGUUCGGAAUGACUGGGCGUAAAGCGCGUGUAGGCGGCUCGGCAAGUCGGAUGUGAAAGCCCUGGGCUCAACCCAGGAAGUGCACUCGAAACUGCCGAGCUGGAGUCCCGGAGAGGAAGGCGGAAUUCUCGGUGUAGAGGUGAAAUGACGCAGAUAUCGGGAAGAACACCCGUGGCGAAGGCGGUUCUCUGGGGACGGUACUGACGCUGAGACGCGAAAGCGU
rnacentral:rRNA from 1 species